GGGCAUUGACUAUGCAGCUGGAGUAUGGAGCUUGGUAACAGGCACCGCCGUAUCCAGUAGCCGAUAGGCAAAGUUUCGGCAUUGGCAUUGGUGGCAAACCUGAAUUGCAGCAAAUAUAAAUCUGUUUGAGUGGGGUUUUAUACAAAAGGUCUCGAUGUUAUUAGGAGUGGAACCAUUUAUUAUAUGAGACUUUCUAUUUUGUUAAGUUUCCGAUGUGGGACUCGUGUAUUCUUCAACACUCCUCCUCACGUGGGACCACUUUUUAGUGGGCCACACGUGCAACCAAUUUGGUUUAAUCAGGCGCAGUCAACCGACCUGCUCUGAUAGCAUGUUAAGAUUUCAGAGGAACGGACCCUUGGCC
rnacentral:lncRNA from 1 species